rnacentral:lncRNA from 12 species
GGAAUGAGUAUUUCUAGAGCAGUGAGGUAAUUAGAACAAUUAGAAGCAAAUGCAGAGUAAUUGCAGUGCAUUUUUCUUUUAGCUAUUUAUACAGUGAAAGUUCUAGGGCAAGAACUAUGCUUUAGAUGUGCUAGCUUCAGCACUGGGUACAGUGUUGGUGCCACAAAAAAGGGCAGGGGGUACAAGUAAAUUUUGUAACAUUUCCAAAGAAAAUUCACUUAGGGAAGGGGUAUUGCACUUACGUAGCUUUAUAAAUAUUGUAGUUUCAGAACAUUGAAAAGGUAAUUUUUUAACUUUUAGGUUAUCCCACUGAAAAGCAUGAUUUAGUAGUCUGAAGCAAAUUGCUUGUUUUCUCUGAAAUUCAGAUGUUUGUCAGACCUUUGAUGUGUGAUGCAUCAGACAAUAAGAAACCUUCCUCGUGUUCUCCUAAGUGUACAACAGAAGUUUGUGGGGAACUGAUAUCCAUCAGGAUCAGACAACUGGAUGCAAUCAACAAUAGCCAUAUAAAUGAUGAAGAUGGAGACUACAUGGCUCCCCAGCCUGAUGAUUAAACUAAUGGAAACAGCAAAUGUGUGAUUCUUCAGACUGACUAAAUCAAAGGUGGUAACUGAGAACCAUGCUAGAAUGGUUGGUCAUUCUGAAACUGAGAAGAUGACCAAAAUGGGUGAACUGUUAAAAUAAAAAAUAAGUGGAAAUAACCUUUGAAAACUCU